ACUAAUUCUGUAUGGAGAAACAAAAAAUCUCUCAUUUCUGACGCAAAUAGAUUUUUUAAUUUCAAAAUAAAGGUUCUUGUCUUGUGGGGAAUGAUGCAAUUUUUUUUGGAAUCCGGUACCAACAGGUAUAAUCCCCCUAGAACUACAUUUUCUUUCAAGCCUUUCAACCAAUCAAUGCGACCUCGUAGGGCAGCUUUUGCUAAAACUCGAGCAGUUUCUUGA
rnacentral:rRNA from 1 species